rnacentral:rRNA from 1 species
UACGGAGGAUCCAAGCGUUAUCCGGAUUUAUUGGGUUUAAAGGGUGCGCAGGCGGGAUAAUAAGUCAGUGGUGAAAGUUUGCAGCUUAACUGUAAAAUUGCCGUUGAAACUGUUAUUCUUGAGUACAGACAAGGUAGGCGGAAUGUAUUGUGUAGCGGUGAAAUGCAUAGAUAUUACACAGAACACCGAUUGCGAAGGCAGCUUACUAAUCCAUCAUUGACGCUGAGGCACGAAAGCGUGGGGAUCAAACAGGAUUAGAUA